rnacentral:rRNA from 1 species
AAUAGAUACCCCGGUAGUCCUGGCUGUAAACGAUGUCGACUAGAUCGUGGCGGCUCUGACGCUGUCACGGUCGAAGCAAAAGUGCUAAGUCGACCGCCUGGGAAGUACGGUCGCAAGGCUAAAACUCAAAGGAAUUGACGGGGGCUCACACAAGCGGUGGAGCAUGUGGUUCAAUUCGAAGCAACGCGCAGAACCUUACCUGGGCUUGACAUGCUAGGAUUAUCUUGGUGAAAGCCGAGUAGGCCCUUCGGGGUACAACUAGUACAGGUGCUGCAUGGCUGUCGUCAGCUCGUGUCGUGAGAUGUCGGGUUAAGUCCCUUAACGAGCGAAACCUUUGCCCUUAGUUACCAUCGGGUUAUGCCGGGGACUCUAAGGGGACUGCCGGUGUCAAACCGGAGGAAGGUGGAGAUGACGUCAAGUCAUCAUGCCCCUUAUGUCCAGGGCUACACACGUGCUACAUUGGCGCGUACAGAGGGCUGCGAUGCCGCGAGGCGGAGCGAAUCCCUUAAAGCGCGUCUCGGUUCGGAUUGC